UGCAUUUGUUUUUUAAAUGUACUUAAGGUGCGUUUAUGAUAUCCAUGACCAGAAAAUUGAGUUGCUCGUUGAGAAGUCCCAGACUGCCCCACAAAGCAGCCAGCCAGAAUUAAGUCGAUGAUUGUCAAGAUAGAAGUAUAUCUGGUUACAGAAAUAACUAGAGAAGUAGUUCUAUCAAUGGAACCCUCGGGGAAAAAACUGCAGUAACCAGCUAACAAUUUGUAGGGUAGGGUUGCUUCAUGUGUUAUUGUAUAGAAUAGAACUGGGAUUUUCUUUCCCAGUAACUUUAUAAACCUCGGGAAUUGAUUGUCUUUUCUUUUUGUUGGGGACAGAUAUUCAUAUGAAUUCUGCAAUAUUCUUCUUACAGUCUUGAUGUUGUAGAGAAUUCCACCAAGU
rnacentral:misc_RNA from 1 species